ACUGUGUUAUAUUACGAUGCUCGAAGUGGACGUGAAAUUCCCAUUUGACAUCCGUGAAUUGAAGACGACUCAGCAUCGCAGCAUUCGCAGUUAGAAAAGUUCUGCAACUGAGUGUCGUUGCUAAUGGUAAUUCAUGAUUAAGAAGUUAGCUUAUUUUGUAAGGUUUUAAUGAAUAAGUUUGUAAAAAAAAUAUUUGUUU